UAAAAGUAUUCCUCUCUCUAGAAAGCUUCUUCUUCUUCCUCUACCUUCUCUCUAAUCUCCACACUGCACCAUCCAUUGCAUUGUCAUUUAGGUGGCGUCCCCGCGUUCCCAGAGUCGAGAGCUCCGUUUUGAAUCGAACGUUUUCUUCAUUCCUACUGGUCCUGUUGAACUUGUUUCUGUGCGAGGGUUACUGUUUUGGGGCUUCUUCUAAAGUGUUGUGCUUAUAACCACCAAGUAGGUGAUGAUGUACCAUUGGAGCAAGCUUUGGAGGUUGAAGAAAACCCAGCCCCUAGUACUUAGGCCUUCUAUUAGCUCUUAGUUGAUUAGCUUGUUAUUUUGAAAAACUCAUAGCUUUUAUUUUAUAUAGUUCGACACUUUUGGAAAACUUUUUAGGUCUCUUUAAAAUUUCAAUAGCCUUGUAUUUUGGAGAACUUUGGAAACUUGUACUCAAGUUUGAUUUUGUUUUAAUUCCCUCUAUCUUUUGGAUGACUGUAUACAUA